CAGUAGCGGGAAUACGUAGGGUGCAAGCGUUAAUCGGAAUUACUGGGCGUAAAGCGUGCGCAGGCGGUUUGUUAAGACAGAUGUGAAAUCCCCGGGCUUAACCUGGGAACUGCAUUUGUGACUGGCAAGCUAGAGUCUGGCAGAGGGGGGUGGAAUUCCGCGUGUAGCAGUGAAAUGCGUAGAUAUGCGGAGGAACACCGAUGGCGAAGGCAGCCCCCUGGGCCAACACUGACGCUCAUGCACGAAAGCGUGGGGAGCAAACAGGAUUAGAUACCCCCGUAGUCCCUGUCUCUUAUACACA
rnacentral:rRNA from 1 species